UACAGAGGGUGCGAGCGUUAAUCGGAAUUACUGGGCGUAAAGCGCGCGUAGGCGGCUUUGCAAGUCGGGUGUGAAAUCCCCAGGCUUAACCUGGGAACUGCAUUCGAGACUGCAUUGCUAGAGUAUGGGAGAGAGAAGUGGAAUUUCCGGUGUAGCGGUGAAAUGCGUAGAUAUCGGAGGGAACAUCAGUGGCGAAAGCGACUUCCUGGACCAAUACUGACGCUCAUGUGCGAAAGCGUGGGGAGCAAACAGG
rnacentral:rRNA from 1 species